UGCAAGAGAACGGGAUGCAAGCAAGACGUUGUUAAUGCAACUUGUGAUAGAAAGUUUCUGUUCCCUUCUUUAUUUUUGGUGUGAAGCAGACAAUGGACUCAGAACCUUGAUUGCUUGAACUAAUUUCCUAUUCAGAUAGCGUAUGAAAAGAAGGUCUAUGACUAACUCUUUUGUUGAACACAUUACCAACUAAUAUCUCUUUUGAUUUAUGAUAUCUGUUAUUUAAGUUGAGUGAGUAUAAAUUAUUCAGGAGUGCUAGGGGGCCAGCUGGUUUGUGAUUUGUAACCAUCAAUUAGCCAUCAUUAGUGUUUAAUGGUGUGAGAUUAUUCAUUUUUCUUUUACUGGUUAAGUGCUAGCCAAAUUUUAAUAAAAGUGCUGAUCCCCUAGACUUUUUCUAAAUUAAAUACUAGAAAGUACCGUUAUUGUAUUGUGAUUUGUAAGGUCGAAAGCUUAAUUUUGUAUUUCUGUAUAUGAUGUUCAUUCUUAGUCUGCACUUUUGAAGUAUUCCUGGAUGAAAUCCGACCAACUCCAAUUAGGUUGGCACUUAGGUUAGCACCUCAAUCAAAACCACGUAAAUCUUUUGGUUGUGUAUGUCGCUUGCAUUAUAUUGGUCCAAUUUUCUAGACCAGCAAAGAUUAAUGCUUAUAGUGCGAUCUGGAUGACGCGUGUAGUAUGAGAGAUUGAGGUCGCAAGCGAGUGUCAAUGUUGGAAGAGAAUAUUGGUACCUUCUCCAUGAUGUGAAUUUUCAUUCUCUAAGUUUUACAAAAAGCAGAGAACAUAAUUAAUUAGUUAUUUUUCUUAAUCUUAGUUACAUAAUAAUCGAUGCAAGUAUAGCCAAUUACAUUUAAAUGUAGAUAACUCAAUUACUUAUAAUUCUAAAAGUUACUUUUCUAUAUGUAUAUAAUAUGCUAGCUAGAUUUAUAUUGAUUAUCGCUUUGUUCUCUUGUGAAUCAAUCUUAAUCAUAUCCUAGGCUUAGUGAUCCAAUUAGAUUUUGUUGGACUCCCAAAAUCCUCAAAACUAACACUGCAUACAGGAUACUGGAGAUCAGAGUCCGAUGAUUUGAUCCAUUGUGUGUGGUAUAAUAACCGGUCUACAUAUAUGCUUGUUUAAGGCUUCAAAUAUAUAUGAUAGAUGAUGUGAUGUGACAUGUGCAUAUGUUAAUUGCUUUGCCACUCUCUAAGAAUUUCUGCAUCAUUGUGGAGGUCCUCAUCAUGCGCUUGGUGGAAUCUUUGGUUCUGAGAGGAAUAGAUUUCUCUUCAUUAGCAGCCAUAGGUCUGUUGAACCCUCCAAGGAUAUAUCCUCAGUAGGUUAUGUGCAGAUGAAGUCCAUCAGUUUUCCCGAAUGUGGCGUUGACUAUCAAGACUACACACCAUGCACCGAUCCAAGGAGAUGGAGGAAGUAUGGCUCCUACCGACUUAUUAACGAUCCUGUGUGGGUGAUGAAUGUUGUCUAAUCUUAUGCUACCAAUACGCUCCCCGUGGUCUAUGAUCGAGGCCUUAUUGGAACCUUCCAUGACUGGUGUGAAGCGUUUUCAACAUAUCCUCGUACAUCUUGAUGGAGUCUUCACUGCAGAAAGCCACAGGUGACGUAUUUACUUUAAUCGGCCAAAUUAAGUGGAAAAUGAUAUUUUAGAUACUUCAAACUUAAAAAGGUGCUUUUCAAUUAGACACACUCACUUUUACAUAAAAUUAAUUGUAAUUUUUAUUUGUCUAUAUACAUUUAUAAUCUUAAAAUCUAAAGAGUUCGUAAAAUUUAAGUGUGGUAGAUAAAUAUGAUGGGGAAGAGAGCUGAAGCUUGGUGAAAACGUGGUGUGUGAUUUGAGGACAAAACUAAAAGUGGAGGGUGGAACUAGUUGUGCUAGCCAGACAGUGAGAAAGUGAGAAGCGGGUGAAUUGCUCUUGCUAUUAGCUUAUAGGGAACCAACCUUCUUGGUGGCUUCAAAGUUUAAUUUUACUUUUUAGUCCUUAGUGCGCUAAACCACUUUAAUUUUCACAUGACAAGAUUUCCGAAGAGGGUUGAGAUACAUGCCACAUUCCCUCUCAAGAUAGAAUUCUUAAUAAUCACAUUAUUCUUGCUAAUUAAUUUGUCAUGUUACAGUUACAUUGGAAUCCAAAGCAUAGUGUGAUAGCAACACACAAUCAACCAAAAAGAUCUUUGAGACCCACAUUACCCAGAUGAACAUGGAAAAUGUUCUGAGGGUUACUUGAAAUGCCGAUUUGGGCCUGAACGUGAGGUUCAAGUCCUUUUGGGUGGCAGGUCGUGAGGAGUUGGGGGGUGGUACCUACAACCUUCUAGAUGCGGUAGAGAUUUUAGGGAGCAGUUUGUCUGCUUUGAGCAAAUAGGGCUUUUGCCCUUCAGAGUCGGUGUCCGACCUCUUCAAAAGAGGUUGGGCAUCCCACGAGGUCCACCUUUAUUGGUGGCCCUUUUAUUGUUAUUGGGCCUGACUGCUAGUUAUUGGGUCAGGGUAUGAACAGUGUCCCUGCUUGAGUCCGUUCCUUCUCAAAGUCGGGCUCAAGCAUUUCGUGGCCUCUAUCCUAAACGUCGGGUUUGAGCUUGACGGAUCGUCCGACUUGUUUGAAACCCUAAAUCCUAAACCAUAACUGGUCUGAUUUAUUUGAACUUGUCCAAGAACGAGUUAAGUGGUCACAUCCCUCAAAGUAUUGGCAAUAUGGAGUUAUUGGAAUCCAUUGAUUUCUCUGGCAACCAACUCACAGGAGAGAUCCCUCAAAGCAUCACAAACUUGAACUUCCUGAACAAGCUAGACUUGUCCUACAAUCACUUUGAGGGCAAAAUCCCAGCGGGCACUCAGUUGCAAAGCUUUGAAUCAUCCGAUUUCGUUGGCAACAAGCUAUGUGGUCCACCAUUGCUGCUCAACUGUACCAUGGAGGGGGAAGUUCCUGAUGACAAUGUGAAAGAGAGAAAGAAUCAUGGAGUGAAGUGGGUGUUUAUGAGUGUGGCUUUUGGAUUUAUAGUGGGAUUUUGGGGAUUUGUUGGUCCAUUGUUCAUAUACAAAUCAUGGAGGUAUGCAUAUUACCGUUUCCUUGAUGACAUGUGCUACAAACUCCAAUGAUGUAUGUGACUUUAUGUUUCUCAUGUUCUAAUUUUCUGGUGUGCUUGGUUUUUCAUUUCUGUGUAUGUGAUGAGUUUGUAAUGUUUUCUUGUUUUUCCCCUUUUCUUGUAAUAGUGGAAAUAAAAAUGAAUAUGCACUUGUCCUAA